rnacentral:rRNA from 1 species
CCUAGGGUGGCAGCAGUGGGGAAUAUUGGGCAAUGGGCGCAAGCCUGACCCAGCAACGCCGCGUGAAGGAAGAAGGCUUUCGGGUUGUAAACUUCUUUUGACAGGGAAGAGCAGAAGACGGUACCUGUCGAAUAAUCCACGGCUAACUACGUGCCAGCAGCCGCGGUAAUACGUAGGUGGCAAGCGUUGUCCGGAUUUACUGGGUGUAAAGGGCGUGUAGCCGGGCUGACAAGUCAGAUGUGAAAUCCGGGGGCUCAACCCCCGAACUGCAUUUGAAACUGUUGGUCUUGAGUAUCGGAGAGGCAGGCGGAAUUCCUAGUGUAGCGGUGAAAUGCGUAGAUAUCUGGAGGAACAUCAGUGGCGAAGGCGACUAUCUGGCACAUAACUGACGCUGAGGAGCGAAAGCGUGGGUAGCAAACAGGAUUAGAUACCCUUGUAGUC